UACGAAGGGGGCUAGCGUUGUUCGGAAUUACUGGGCGUAAAGCGCGCGCAGGCGGUCUUCCAAGUCAGUGGUGAAAGCCCCGGAGCUCAACUCCGGAACUGCCAUUGAAACUGUUAGACUUGAGGAUGAGAGAGGUGAGUGGAAUUCCCAGUGUAGAGGUGAAAUUCGUAGAUAUUGGGAAGAACACCGGUGGCGAAGGCGGCUACACUGGCUCAUUACUGACGCUCAGGCGCGAUAGCGUGGGGAUCAAACAGG
rnacentral:rRNA from 1 species